ensembl:antisense Gm45107 predicted gene 45107
AGAUACAACAUUGCAUCUGCUGCUGACACCACACUGCCUGGGAAGAGUAAGAGUGAUUCAUUCAGAAAGACAAACAGCAGCAGCAGCAGCCCGCCCCUGGUCCUCUCGCCACAGAGGCUCCUGACUCAUACAGAGAACUGUGGGUAGAAACGAGUGAUGACCAUUGGUGUGACUGCACAAAUGAACAAGAUGAUUGCAACUGACCACACCGCCACAGCGGGGUCUUCCUUGUGAUUAUAAACCUGCAAAAGUGGACACCUCAUGACUGGGGCUCUUGUUGAUGUGCAAGUACCUGUUAUUGAUAGCAGAGGAGGGGGAAAAGAAGACUGCAAAUCCAGAAUCCAAUUGCACAAGGGAGUCUUGUCUGGUGUCAAACGAAAGGAUGAGAAAAAGGAAAGAUCACAACCACGGACAUCUUGAGGAAGAUGCUGGAAGCAC